rnacentral:lncRNA from 1 species
GAUUUUUAGGAGAAAAUAAAGGAAUUUGAUUAGGAGGGGGAAGUUGUGCCGUUUGGGGAGUUUUAAGUGUGGGGAAUUCAGCUAGGGGGAGUUUUGGGGUCUUUUUCGGCUUUUGAGGGACUGUUGUUUUUUAUUUUAUUUUAUUUUAUUUUUUUCUCUGUCUGCUUCAGUGUGGGUGAGCAAUUUUAUUUUUUACUUUUUCUUUUGGUACCGAACCUUACAAAGACUUCAAAGUAUCUCCCGAGUUUGUUUAUUUUUUUUUCUACCUUUCCCUUCAUGCCCUUUUCGUUUUGGCCGAAUAGCCUUUGGCUCUUUCCUCUUUCC